GGUUAAGCGACUAAGCGUACACGGUGGAUGCCCUGGCAGUCAGAGGCGAUGAAGGACGUGCUAAUCUGCGAUAAGCGUCGGUAAGGUGAUAUGAACCGUUAUAACCGGCGAUUUCCGAAUGGGGAAACCCAGUGUGUUUCGACACACUAUCAUUAACUGAAUCCAUAGGUUAAUGAGGCGAACCGGGGGAACUGAAACAUCUAAGUACCCCGAGGAAAAGAAAUCAACCGAGAUUCCCCCAGUAGCGGCGAGCGAACGGGGAGCAGCCCAGAGCCUGAAUCAGUGUGUGUGUUAGUGGAAGCGUCUGGAAAGGCGCGCGAUACAGGGUGACAGCCCCGUACACAAAAAUGCACAUGCUGUGAGCUCGAUGAGUAGGGCGGGACACGUGGUAUCCUGUCUGAAUAUGGGGGGACCAUCCUCCAAGGCUAAAUACUCCUGACUGACCGAUAGUGAACCAGUACCGUGAGGGAAAGGCGAAAAGAACCCCGGCGAGGGGAGUGAAAAAGAACCUGAAACCGUGUACGUACAAGCAGUGGGAGCACGCUUAGGCGUGUGACUGCGUACCUUUUGUAUAAUGGGUCAGCGACUUAUAUUCUGUAGCAAGGUUAACCGAAUAGGGGAGCCGAAGGGAAACCGAGUCUUAACUGGGCGUUAAGUUGCAGGGUAUAGACCCGAAACCCGGUGAUCUAGCCAUGGGCAGGUUGAAGGUUGGGUAACACUAACUGGAGGACCGAACCGACUAAUGUUGAAAAAUUAGCGGAUGACUUGUGGCUGGGGGUGAAAGGCCAAUCAAACCGGGAGAUAGCUGGUUCUCCCCGAAAGCUAUUUAGGUAGCGCCUCGUGAAUUCAUCUCCGGGGGUAGAGCACUGUUUCGGCAAGGGGGUCAUCCCGACUUACCAACCCGAUGCAAACUGCGAAUACCGGAGAAUGUUAUCACGGGAGACACACGGCGGGUGCUAACGUCCGUCGUGAAGAGGGAAACAACCCAGACCGCCAGCUAAGGUCCCAAAGUCAUGGUUAAGUGGGAAACGAUGUGGGAAGGCCCAGACAGCCAGGAUGUUGGCUUAGAAGCAGCCAUCAUUUAAAGAAAGCGUAAUAGCUCACUGGUCGAGUCGGCCUGCGCGGAAGAUGUAACGGGGCUAAACCAUGCACCGAAGCUGCGGCAGCGACACUGUGUGUUGUUGGGUAGGGGAGCGUUCUGUAAGCCUGUGAAGGUGUACUGUGAGGUAUGCUGGAGGUAUCAGAAGUGCGAAUGCUGACAUAAGUAACGAUAAAGCGGGUGAAAAGCCCGCUCGCCGGAAGACCAAGGGUUCCUGUCCAACGUUAAUCGGGGCAGGGUGAGUCGACCCCUAAGGCGAGGCCGAAAGGCGUAGUCGAUGGGAAACAGGUUAAUAUUCCUGUACUUGGUGUUACUGCGAAGGGGGGACGGAGAAGGCUAUGUUGGCCGGGCGACGGUUGUCCCGGUUUAAGCGUGUAGGCUGGUUUUCCAGGCAAAUCCGGAAAAUCAAGGCUGAGGCGUGAUGACGAGGCACUACGGUGCUGAAGCAACAAAUGCCCUGCUUCCAGGAAAAGCCUCUAAGCAUCAGGUAACAUCAAAUCGUACCCCAAACCGACACAGGUGGUCAGGUAGAGAAUACCAAGGCGCUUGAGAGAACUCGGGUGAAGGAACUAGGCAAAAUGGUGCCGUAACUUCGGGAGAAGGCACGCUGAUAUGUAGGUGAAGCGACUUGCUCGUGGAGCUGAAAUCAGUCGAAGAUACCAGCUGGCUGCAACUGUUUAUUAAAAACACAGCACUGUGCAAACACGAAAGUGGACGUAUACGGUGUGACGCCUGCCCGGUGCCGGAAGGUUAAUUGAUGGGGUUAGCG
rnacentral:rRNA from 1 species